rnacentral:rRNA from 1 species
UUAUACCGUGAAACUGCGAAUGGCUCAUUAAAUCAGUUAUCGUUUAUUUGAUAGAACCUUACUACUUGGAUAACCGUGGUAAUUCUAGAGCUAAUACAUGCUAAAAACCCCGACUUCGGGAGGGGUGUAUUUAUUAGAUAAAAAACCAAUGCCCUUCGGGGCUCUUUGGUGAUUCAUGAUAACUUAACGGAUCGCAUGGCCUUGCGCCGGCGACGGUUCAUUCAAAUUUCUGCCCUAUCAACUUUCGAUGGUAAGGUAUUGGCUUACCAUGGUUUCAACGGGUAACGGGGAAUUAGGGUUCGAUUCCGGAGAGGGAGCCUGAGAAACGGCUACCACAUCCAAGGAAGGCAGCAGGCGCGCAAAUUACCCAAUCCCGACACGGGGAGGUAGUGACAAUAAAUACUGAUACAGGGCUCUUUUGGGUCUUGUAAUCGGAAUGAGUACAAUUUAAACCCCUUAACGAGGAACAAUUGGAGGGCAAGUCUGGUGCCAGCAGCCGCGGUAAUUCCAGCUCCAAUAGCGUAUAUUAAAGUUGUUGCAGUUAAAAAGCUCGUAGUUGAACCUUGGGCCUGGCUGGCCGGUCCGCCUCACCGCGUGUACUGGUCCGGCCGGGCCUUUCCUUCUGGAGAGCCGCAUGCCCUUCACUGGGUGUGUCGGGGAACCAGGACUUUUACUUUGAAAAAAUUAGAGUGUUCAAAGCAGGCCUUUGCUCGAAUACGUUAGCAUGGAAUAAUAGAAUAGGACGUGCGGUCCUAUUUUGUUGGUUUCUAGGACCGCCGUAAUGAUUAAUAGGGAUAGUCGGGGGCAUCAGUAUUCAAUUGUCAGAGGUGAAAUUCUUGGAUUUAUUGAAGACUAACUACUGCGAAAGCAUUUGCCAAGGAUGUUUUCAUUAAUCAGUGAACGAAAGUUAGGGGAUCGAAGACGAUCAGAUACCGUCGUAGUCUUAACCGUAAACUAUGCCGACUAGGGAUCGGGCGAUGUUUCUAUCUUGACUCGCUCGGCACCUUACGAGAAAUCAAAGUUU